rnacentral:rRNA from 1 species
GAUGAACGCUGGCGGCGUGCCUAAUACAUGCAAGUCGAGCGGACCAAGGAGAGCUUGCUCUCUGAGGUUAGCGGCGGACGGGUGAGUAACACGUGGGUAACCUGCCUGUAAGACGGGGAUAACUUCGGGAAACCGAAGCUAAUACCGGAUGAUAAAGAGAAACGCCUAUUUCUUUUUUGAAAGUCGGCCUUGUGCUGACGCUUACAGAUGGGCCCGCGGCGCAUUAGCUAGUUGGUGAGGUAACGGCUCACCAAGGCGACGAUGCGUAGCCGACCUGAGAGGGUGAUCGGCCACACUGGGACUGAGACACGGCCCAGACUCCUACGGGAGGCAGCAGUAGGGAAUCUUCGGCAAUGGACGAAAGUCUGACCGAGCAACGCCGCGUGAGCGAUGUAGGCCUUCGGGUCGUAAAGCUCUGUCGUCAGAGAAGAACAAGUACCGGAGUAACUGCCGGUACCUUGACGGUACCUGACCAGAAAGCCACGGCUAACUACGUGCCUGCCGCCGCGGUAAUAC